ensembl:lncRNA
CAAGUACACACCCAUUUUACUUGUCUGGUGGUGAACCCUACGAAGCCAGUUGCUGCUCAACCCGUUUUUCCUGGAAGAGCUUUUCAAUGGAAGUAGUGAUUGUCCUUGACGCGGUGAACAAUGCCAGCUUAUUCUUCCUCUGGGAGGAACAAUAAGCAAUUGAUGUCUCCAAGAAAGACGAUGGCUGGAGGGUGUCUCAAGUCUUAAGAAUCAGGACUGAGAGGGCUUUCCAGAGUCGCCGACUAAUGGGGCCGAGAGAAAGAGAGAAGACAGAAGAAAUAGCAGGCUGUGUUUCUGGGGAUGCUAGGUCGUCUGUGGACGUGCCACAGGUAGUGAGCCUGCCGAUGUUCUUUGGUGGGGAAAUUCUGCUCGGUAACCCGUCGUCACAGCAGAGGCCCUGCGCAGUGAUUGGAGGAGAGCCUUUGCCUGGAGGGAGGCUCGUUCUAUGACUGUGUGUUGUGCAGAAUGGCAUCCCUGAACACAUGACACGUCAAACCUUGAAAAGCAUGGAGGCGAACAUUUCCUGAUACCAAAGAGGCAUACCUAAAGACGUGUCCAGUGAGGAUUUAAUCUGCCUUCCGGAGUUACACAAUUGGACUGACAAUGAUCCCAACCAUGUACCAAAUAUUAACAAUAAAACAUUUUCUCUCAUCCAA